rnacentral:tRNA from 1 species
AAGAAGGUGACAGAGUGGCUAUGUGACUGGCUUGAAACCAGUACACGGGGGUUCAAUUCCCUCCCUUCUCG